rnacentral:lncRNA from 1 species
GCAGGGAAAAUUAUUGGUCUUCACCAUGGAGCAAAGCAAGCGAUAAUGAGGAUGGCCCAAAUGGUUGUGCCAACCAUCAAGAGUGGUGCUCUCGGCCAUGUAAACAGAUGUGGAUAAAGAAGAAAGACUGGAACGGAGAGUGUAUAAUCCUCCUUCACUCGGAUCGGAUAAUACUGUGGUCUUGGUGGUUCGAUCCUUC